rnacentral:rRNA from 1 species
CACGUAGGGUGCGAGCGUUGUCCGGAAUUAUUGGGCGUAAAGAGCUCGUAGGCGGUGUGUCGCGUCGGCCGUGAAAACCUGCAGCUUAACUGUGGCUUGCGGUCGAUACGGGCAUCACUGGAGUUCGGGCAGGGGAGACUGGAAUUCCUGGUGAUAGCGGUGAAAUGCGCAGAUAUCGAGGAGGAACACCGGUGGCCGAAAGGCG